GAACGGGUGAGUAACACGUGGGGAAUCUGCCUAUAAGUGGGGGAUAACAUUCGGAAACGGAUGCUAAUACCGCAUAUAUUCUUGGACCGCCUGGUCCUUGAAAGAAAGACGGCUUUGCUGUCGCUUAUAGAUGAUCCCGCGGCGUAUUAGUUAGUUGGUGGGGUAAAGGCCUACCAAGACAAUGAUACGUAGCCGACCUGAGAGGGUGAUCGGCCACACUGGGACUGAGACACGGCCCAGACUCCUACGGGAGGCAGCAGUAGGGAAUCUUCCACAAUGGGCGAAAGCCUGAUGGAGCAAUGCCGCGUGAAUGAAGAAGGUCUUCGGAUCGUAAAGUUCUGUUAUUAGAGAAGAACAAGUCAAGGAGUAACUGUCUUGACUUUGACGGUACCUAACCAGAAAGUCACGGCUAACUACGUGCCAGCAGCCGCGGUAAUACGUAGGUGACGAGCGUUGUCCGGAAUUAUUGGGCGCAAAGGGAGCGCAGGCGGUUGGAAUAGUCUGAUGUGAAAGCCCACGGCUUAACCGUGGAAGGUCAUUGGAAACUGUCCAACUUGAAUGCAGAAGAGGAAAGUGGAAUUCCAUGUGUAGCGGUGAAAUGCGUAGAUAUAUGGAGGAACACCAGUGGCGAAGGCGACUUUCUGGUCUGUAAUUGACGCUGAGGCUCGAAAGCGUGGGUAGCGAACAGGAUUAGAUACCCUGGUAGUCCACGCCGUAACGAUGAGUGCUAAGUGUUAGGGGUUUCCGCCCCUUAGUGCUGGAG
rnacentral:rRNA from 1 species